GAAUCAUCGAAUCUUUGGAACGCACCUUGCGCUCCUUGGUAUUCCGAGGAGCAUGCCUGUUUGAGUGUCAUGA
rnacentral:rRNA from 1 species